GACGAACGCUGGCGGCGUGCCUAAUACAUGCAAGUCGAGCGGAGCUUAUCCUUCGGGAUAAGCUUAGCGGCGGACGGGUGAGUAACACGUAGGCAACCUGCCCCUUAGCCUGGGAUAACUACCGGAAACGGUAGCUAAUACCGGAUAAUCCCUUUCCUCGCCUGAGGAAAGGAUAAAAGGCGGAGCAAUCUGCUGAUAAGGGAUGGGCCUGCGGCGCAUUAGCUAGUUGGUGAGGUAACGGCUCACCAAGGCGACGAUGCGUAGCCGACCUGAGAGGGUGAACGGCCACACUGGGACUGAGACACGGCCCAGACUCCUACGGGAGGCAGCAGUAGGGAAUCUUCCGCAAUGGGCGAAAGCCUGACGGAGCAACGCCGCGUGAGUGAUGAAAGGUUUUCGGAUCGUAAAGCUCUGUUGCCAGGGAAG
rnacentral:rRNA from 1 species